rnacentral:rRNA from 1 species
CCACCACCAAAGCAUUCUCUGGUGUUGAAGGCCCUGCAAAGCAGCAUCGCGGUGGCGGAGCGUCGUUUGCGACGCCCAACACACAAAACAAGCGGUGAGUGCUUUGGGGUGGGGUGACUGCGUACCUUUUGUAUAAUGGGUCAGCGACUUAUAUUCUGUAGCAAGGUUAACCGUAUAGGGGAGCCGAAGGGAAACCGAGUCUUAACUGGGCGUUAAGUUGCAGGGUAUAGACCCGAAACCCGGUGAUCUAGCCAUGGGCAGGUUGAAGGUUGGGUAACACUAACUGGAGGACCGAACCGACUAAUGUUGAAAAAUUAGCGGAUGACUUGUGGCUGGGGGUGAAAGGCCAAUCAAACCGGGAGAUAGCUGGUUCUCCCCGAAAGCUAUUUAGGUAGCGCCUCGUGAACUCAUCUUCGGGGGUAGAGCACUGUUUCGGCUAGGGGGUCAUCCCGACUUACCAACCCGAUGCAAACUGCGAAUACCGAAGAAUGUUAUCACGGGAGACACACGGCGGGUGCUAACGUCCGUCGUGAAGAGGGAAACAACCCAGACCGCCAGCUAAGGUCCCAAAGUCACAGUUAAGUGGGAAACGAUGUGGGAAGGCUCAGACAGCCAGGAUGUUGGCUUAGAAGCAGCCAUCAUUUAAAGAAAGCGUAAUAGCUCACUGGUCGAGUCGGCCUGCGCGGAAGAUGUAACGGGGCUAAACUGUGCACCGAAGCUGCGGCAGCGACGCUUAUGCGUUGUUGGGUAGGGGAGCGUUCUGUAAGCCUGCGAAGGUGUCCUGUGAGGGAUGCUGGAGGUAUCAGAAGUGCGAAUGCUGACAUAAGUAACGAUAAUGCGGGUGAAAAGCCCGCUCGCCGGAAGACCAAGGGUUCCUGUCCAACGUUAAUCGGGGCAGGGUGAGUCGACCCCUAAGGCGAGGCCGAAAGGCGUAGUCGAUGGGAAACGGGUUAAUAUUCCCGUACUUGGUGUUACUGCGAAGGGGGGACGGAGAAGGCUAUGUUGGCCGGGCGACGGUUGUCCCGGUUUAAGCGUGUAGGCUGGUUUUCCAGGCAAAUCCGGAAAAUCAAGGCUGAGGCGUGAUGACGAGGCACUACGGUG